rnacentral:pre_miRNA from 1 species
AGGAGGAACAGCCCCAGUCGCGGGGCCAGCUCUGGAAACCUGGAUUCAGCUCCGGCAGGAACUCCGUCUGCAGGGCCUGGAGGCUCUGGGGCGGG